rnacentral:lncRNA from 1 species
CAUUAUAUUUUUUUACAUGAACUCUUUGGGAAUGUAUCUAUUAUGUAAAAACAGAAUUGGGUGUGUAUGUAUGUGUAUAUAUAUAUAUAUAGAUAUAAAAGGGAGUUUGCGUUAUAUCUUUUACUCGCUUAUAUGAAAGAAGGAAACGGUGCGAGUUAUGCAACCCACUUUCAUCGCUUCGACAUGAAUGCUGUGACGGGUUGUUGUUAUCUUUCCGAAUGUUUUAUCACUUUUAGCCGAGUCGUUCUUCCAGUUUAUAGUGUAACACAUCCGCACAUAGCUGUUUGCUAACGAUACAUGGCAUGUUCUCUUAGUUCGUAAGGUCAAUGACCCAGUACGGGUUGGUCGAUAGUGUUUGGGUUUGCUCGCUUACAGAUGGUUCAGACAGUCUACGAAUAAUAGUUCUUCAGUUGCAGUUUACGGAAAGGUAGCUCUUCUGUUUUCCCCCCUAUAUAUAUAUGUGUGUGUGUGUGUCUGUGUGUGUGUUUGUGUCCAAGAAGAUGCCAUCUAUAGUUGGCUUCAAAUGGAUAUUGUGUUAUCCCCGCCUGCAGGGUUUUGUACUUCGUUCCACGAACUUCGCCACUGCUUUUAUCAACUUUUGAAAAUAGUUCUGCUUGCCACAACCUAAUUCAAUUUCUAAAGUACUAUCAGUAAAACCGGGACGAAACGGAAC